AACCUAUAGGCCUUCAGUGUGUGACAGGUUAGUACAGUGGUGAACCUAUAGGCCUUCAGUGUGACAGGUUAGUACAGUGGUGAACCUAUAGGUCUUCAGUGUGACAGGUUAAUACAGUGGUGAACCUAUAGGUCUUCAGUGUGACAGGUUAGUACAGUGGUGAACCUAUAGGUCUUCAGUGUGACAGGUUAAUACAGUGGUGAACCUAUAGGUCUUCAGUGUGACAGGUUAGUACAGUGGUGAACCUAUAGGCCUUCAGUGUGACAGGUUAGUACAGUGGUGAACCUAUAGGCCUUCAGUGUGACAGGUUAGUACAGUGGUGAACCUAUAGGUCUUCAGUGUGACAGGUUAAUACAGUGGUGAACCUAUAGGUCUUCAGUGUGACAGGUUAGUACAGUGGUGAACCUAUAGGCCUUCAGUGUGACAGGUUAGUACAGUGGUGAACCUAUAGGUCUUCAGUGUGUGACAGGUUAGUACAGUGGUGAACCUAUAGGUCUUCAGUGUGUGACAGGUUAGUACAGUGGUGAACCUAUAGGUCUUCAGUGUGUGACAGGUUAGUACAGUGGUGAACCUAUAGGCCUUCAGUGUGACAGGUUAGUACAGUGGUGAACCUAUAGGUCUUCAGUGUGACAGGUUAGUACAGUGGUGAACCUAUAGGCCUUCAGUGUGACAGGUUAGUACAGUGGUGAA